rnacentral:rRNA from 1 species
UACGUAGGGUGCGAGCGUUGUCCGGAAUUACUGGGCGUAAAGAGCUCGUAGGUGGUUUGUCGCGUUUGUUCGUGAAAACCUGAGGCUUAACCUUGGGCGUGCGGGCGAUACGGGCAGACUGGAGUACUGCAGGGGAGACUGGAAUUCCUGGUGUAGCGGUGGAAUGCGCAGAUAUCAGGAGGAACACCGGUGGCGAAGGCGGGUCUCUGGGCAGUAACUGACGCUGAGGAGCGAAAGCGUGGGUAGCAAACAGG